rnacentral:rRNA from 1 species
AUACGAAGGGCCCGAGCGUUAAUCGGAAUCACUGGGCUUACAGGGUGCGUAGGCGGCUUGUCAGGUCAGGUGUGAAAUCCCACGGCCCAACCGUGGAACUGCGCUUGAAACCGGCGAGCUUGAGUAAGCUAGGGGUGCACGGAACUUCCAGUGGAGCGGUGAAAUGUGUUGAUAUUGGAAGGAACACCAGAAGCGAAAGCGGUGCACUGGGGCUUGUCUGACGCUGAGGCACGAAAGCCAGGGGAGCGAACGGGAUUAGAAACCCCAGUAGUCC